rnacentral:lncRNA from 1 species
CGUUUGACAACAUGAUGUCUAACAUCCUGCUUGUUCCUGUACCGUUUCAAUGAUAUUAGCAACAGUGUGGUAACGUCGGCCUCCUGCUGAUAAAAAGUUGUGCUAUUUCUCUCCCUCCUAGGAUGGUGUAAAGAGAUAGCUUAAUAAGCCAAGCAUUAAGGUCAUCAUCUUCAGAAUGUCAUACCCGAUUCUGGUUGCAUUGGGACAUUCAAAUGGAAUAAGAUGGGCCAUCGUCCUUUUCUGGAACUGGAUAGGAGAUGGUUGUUAAUUCAUCAUCUUCCUUUUAGCCUGUCCAUGAAGCAAGCCUUCUGUCUAUUUAUGCUAUUUCUUCUUCUUCGUCUUUUGGUGUUGGAUAUGUCUCGUGUUGAAACUCUUUAUUGGUUACAUAAAAAGACGACAGUCCUACUGAAGACUACUUUGGAGGUUUGGUACGCAUGUUCUGGGUAAAGUUUGCUCAAUUUUGUCGAGUCGUGUGUAGUGUAACGAACUGAACUUUCCAUCUAUGUUAUGAUCUAUGUCAAGUAGUCUAGGAAGGUGCUCCAUCUGCUUCGUUGGGGUUAUUUUUUUCCUGCUUUUGUAG